GGGCACUUAGCUCAGCUGGUUAGAGCGCUACCUUGACAUGGUAGAGGUCACUGGUUCGAGUCCAGUAUUGCCCACAA
rnacentral:tRNA from 1 species